UAAAAGUGGGUAUAUGAGUGAAAAAGUGGUGCCGUGAGAUAUCCAUUGUGUGAUGCCCAAACGGAGGUUCAAUGUGGGCGUCAGAUGCUUGGGCAGCUGAGCUGAUGUGAAAUAGAGCUGUCCAGGGCUCUAACCCCAACAGCUAUUGCAGCGUGAUAUGACACAAAGUAACAGGGUUUUUUGUUGUUUUUGUUUUUAAAGAAAGACAUCUCAGUGGAAUAGGCUAGAAAGCCCAGACACAGAUCCCUGCAAUAUUUCCCACUGUGGCUUAUGAGAGCAGAGACAUCACAAACUAAUGGGGACUAGAAGGGUUUCUCAUUGAGUGGGGCUAGAAAAUGAUUUUUAUCUGGGAAACAAAAAGCAAUUUUUACCUCCCUUUAUACUAACACUGAAACCGAUCGAUGCCAGGUGAUUAAGGAGCACACUUGUUGUGACGUGCACUGGCAUAUGGGAGAGUUGAAUCACCACAUUGUACACCUGAAGCUAUGAUCACACUGUAUGUUAACUAACAGGAAUUUAAAUAAAUAAAUAAAAACCAAUGCCAGGUGAUUUAAAGAGUUAACCCCCCCCCCCCACACACACACAAAAGCGUACUACUCACUAGGAAAAAAAUGGAAACGAUUCAUUAUUCAAACUGUGAUUAAGGGAGGCCAUUGUAGCUUUCAUAGCAAUAGAGAGAAUUAUAAUGGAAAAUACAAACAUAAUUGACUAUAGGAAAUGUAAAGCUUUUCUGUGUUGAAAAUUCUCAUAAAUAAAACAUUCACAGAAGGCAGUAGGAAUUUUCAUAAUGAAAUGUUGGGGCAAUAAAAGGCGGUAAGGGUCCAUUUAUAAAAGAUGAAGUUCAAAAGGCAAAUUCAGUUGCAAAUGUUGAAUUUAGUCAUAAUAAAAUAACCGUAAAUUAGGAUGGAGAGAUACCGCUUUGCGCCCGUCGAAGGAAUGCUAUAGAACAAGAGGCUCGCAGCGCUGGCUCUGUCCUGGUGGCAUGGGGCUUCUUGUACACAGCUGGCAGGACUCUGAAGGAGCAAACCUUUCUGGAAAGCAAUUUGCUUAAGAUGUGUGAAAAGCCUCGAAAAGGUUCACACUGUUUGACUUGGGAGUUCCAUUUAUAGGAAGCUCAUCCCAAGAAAGUGAUCUAAAACACUGUCCCAAGCCUGGUACGGAAAGAUGUGCACUGCGGUUUGAUUUAUAAAGGUAAAGAAGAGAAAAGGAAAAAAAGAAAGAAAGAGAAAAAAGAAAUUCUCCACAACUCCAGCCCCAGAAGAAUGGUUAACAAAAUUAUGUUUCAUUCAUUAAGUGGAUUAUCAGACAGCCAUUAAACGUAAUAAUUACAAAGAAUGUUGACUAACAUGGUGAAAUGCUUAGCAUAUAAUCAGUGUGAAGGGGUGGCACAAGAUUAUAUAUAUUAUAAGUAUUUACUGUAAACAAAUGCAUUAAAAAAAUUUCUGAAGAAACGUGCUCUUCACAUGCAUUUUCACAUAGCAUGGCAGUUCCUGGGAUUCUUGUCAAGAUUUUUCUGUUCCUCAUUCUUUCGUUACGCUCCAAAUUUUCCAUAAUGUUCACGUAUCACUAUUUUAUGGGAACAUAUUUCAAAAGAACACAAGAGAACAGGAAUAGUAUAAUGAACACAAUAUACAAUAUACUUACUAUCCAAGAGCAUGUAUCACCUUCAUAGUAGGAAAAGCAAGAAAAAAGAAAAAAAAAGAGCCAGGUCCUAAGGGACUGCUGGUACCUGCAUUGGGCAAGUUUUGGAGGUGGGUGGAGGAUGGGCUGGAAAGGAAAGGAAAUGGUCCAGGGUCUGGAAGGCUACCCCAGCGGGUUCCUUUUUCAAAGAGUUGAGAUACAAGGACCUCUGUGCUCCUAGUGACUGGUGCUCUUCAUUUGAAAUGCCUUUCCUAGAAUAUGGCAGGUUCCCUUUGGACAUGGAUUUGAUCCUGAACUCUGAGUUGCCUAGGUCAGCAUGUCUAUUCCUGACCAUGCUGUUGAAUUGCUGUUGCUUUGUCAGAUGCUACCUAGUAGGACAAAUCCAGUCCUUUUACUCCUACUAUGUGCCCACCACUUGUUUUUCUUUCUCAAAAUUCUCUUAGUUGUUCUUGCCGAUCUCCUCUUCCAUAUGACCUUUAGAAUCAGCCUAUUAAGUUCCACUUAAAAAUCCUGGUGGGAUUUUGAUUCAGAAGGCAUUGAAUUUGUCCGUUAAUUUGGAGAGAAUUGACAUCUUCAACAAUAUCGAGUCUUCAGGACCCUAACAUUUCAAGGGUGGUUGAGUCAGAGCCUCUGAUUAAUGAGACUGGGAAGACAAAGUCGUCAUAGAGACGGGUUAAAAACAAGGAGAGAGUGUUGUCAUGGAAACCAAGAGAGCCAAGCGUUUCAAGAAGGCGAGAGUGAUCAACAAUAUCAAGCCCUGCAGAGAAUUCCAAUAAACCAGGGAUGGAAAAACACCCAGUGCAGUUGCGACCCAGCCCCUCUGCACCCCAGGAUGAGCCCCACAGAAGCUCCUGUUCGAAAGUUGGUUGCUGCAGGAAACCAAGACCAGAGUCCAAAGCAAGAGUUAAGAAAGAUGAAAGCAGUGUGUGCGUCUUUAAGAGAAGCCGUCCAUCAGAGGGCUUCCUGGAGCUCGAGGUCCACCCAAUCCUCCUGCAUAUCAACACAUAACUCAAGGGGUGCCUGGGUGGCUCAGUCAGUUGGGCAUCUGCCAUCAGCUCAGGUCAAGAUCUCAGGGUCCUGGGAUCCAGCCCCAUAUCCGGCUCCCUGUUUAUCAGGGAGUCUGCUUCUCCUUCUCCCUCUGCCCCUCUCUACCCUACUUGUGUAGAGAGGGGCUACCCUACCCUACUCGCUCUUUUGCUCUUUCUCUCUCUCUAAAAUAGAUAAAUAAAACCUUUAAAAAUA